UCGAGCGUCAUUUCAACCCUCAAGCUCAGCUUGGUCUUGGGCCCUGCCGGCGACGGCUGGCCUUAAAAGCAGUGGCGGUGCCGUCGAGCUCUACGCGUAGUAAUUACACCCUCGCGAUUGAGUCUUGGUGGACACUGGCCAGCAACCCCCAAUUUUCUAUGGUUGACCUCGGAUCAGGUAGGGAUACCCGCUGAACUUAA
rnacentral:misc_RNA from 1 species